UACGGAAGGCAGCAGUGGGGAAUAUUGCACAAUGGGCGCAAGCCUGAUGCAGCCAUGCCGCGUGUAUGAAGAAGGCCUUCGGGUUGUAAAGUACUUUCAGUCGUGAGGAAGGUGUUAAGGUUAAUAACCUUAGCAAUUGACGUUAGCGACAGAAGAAGCACCGGCUAACUCCGUGCCAGCAGCCGCGGUAAUACGGAGGGUGCGAACGUUAAUCGGAAUUACUGGGCGUAAAGGGCACGCAGGCGGUUAAUUAAGUUGGAUGUGAAAUCCCCGGGCUUAACCUGGGAAUGGCAUUCAAGACUGGUUAGCUAGAGUCUUGUAGAGGGGGUAGAAUUCCAUGUGUAGCGGUGAAAUGCGUAGAGAUGUGGAGGAAUACCGGUGGCGAAGGCGGCCCCUGGACAAAGACUGACGCUCAUGUGCGAAAGCGUGGGGAGCAAACAGGGAUUAGAUACC
rnacentral:rRNA from 1 species